UUUCAAUAUUUGUUGUAUAUUUCAUUAUGAAGAUUACAAAAGAGUGAAGGCAACUCUUAUAGAGAGCCAAAAGAAAGCUACAAUAGAUUGUAGGAUAACUACACAAACACAAUCCCUAAAAUCUGCCAUAACAAGUGGAAAAGCAAAAACCAAAUUACAAGUAAAGAAGUUUUUACAAGCAACUAAGAAAGGUUGAUGUAAGGUGAAUGAUAAGCUAUGGAAAGUGAUUGGUGAAUGACAAGCUAUGGAGAAAUGUUGAUGUAAGGUGAAUGACAAGCAUGGAGAAAGGUUGAUGUAAGGUGAAUGACAAGCUAUGGUGAGGAUGACAACUCAUACAUACAACCCAUUUAUACUUUCAAUAAAUAUAACGUCCAGCAUCUCUUUGGAAUACUCAAGCAUAAAACAAACUUCAUUUCCCAAUUAUUUGAUCGCCUCGUGCACUAAAUUAAGAAAUUGCUGCAG
rnacentral:lncRNA from 1 species